rnacentral:rRNA from 1 species
UACAGAGGUCUCAAGCGUUGUUCGGAUUCAUUGGGCGUAAAGGGUGCGUAGGUGGCGCGCUAAGUCAGGUGUGAAAUUUCGGAGCUUAACUCCGAAACUGCAUUUGAUACUGGCGUGCUUGAGGACUGGAGAGGAGACUGGAAUUCAUGGUGUAGCGGUGAAAUGCGCAGAUAUCAGGAGGAACACCGGUGGCGAAGGCGGGUCUCUGGGCCGAUACUGACGGCUGGAGGAGCGAAAGCGUGGGGAGCGAACAGG